rnacentral:lncRNA from 1 species
GAGGUUAGAAAAUUUUGGUAAAAUCUCUGCUGCCACACCUACACUUUGCCCGUUGAAAAUCAGCUGCCUCGAACGGCUCUUUUGAAUCAAAAUACCCGUGAUCCUUCUCUGUCAUGGGAUUUUGAAUUUCAAAAUCAGGAACAUGAACCCUACUUCUUCACCUAUAAAUACUUGCAUUUGGAAUAUAUUGGGGCAGAGCUUUUAGGAGCCGUUAUACCUCUCUUUAAACCCACAAGCUUGAACCCCUCCUUUAACCUUUAUGCUCUAGGCCGUCCAUCUAUCCCCUCUAAGUCUAAGCUUCAGCCACCAUUUUACUCCAAAUAUUAAUGGUUGGCCGCCCCCCCCCCCUUCUAUCUCCCUUCGGUGGCUAACUAUUCAAAGCUUAUCUUCUUCCUUACUCUCUUAAAAUUCAGCUUUAAGUUUUCUCUGCUUUUUUACCUCUAUUUAGUCUAUAGCAUUGUCAAAGCUUUUAUUAUUUUUUUGGUGUACGCAUUUGACUCUCUUCUGAAAGAGCUAAGCCAAAGCCGGAGAUCCUCUUGACGACGCCCCAUUCACUACCCAUAAAAAGGUCAGUAACUUCGAAAUCUUUCUUCUCGGCUUUCCUGUAUUUGAAGAUCUGAAAUGUUUGUUUGUUUGUUUUAAAAAUCUUGUCUCCAGUUUAUUUUCCAUUGUAAAUUCAUUCAUAUAUGAAAUCAUGCAAUACUAUUUUUUUAAUUAUCUCUUAAUUAAGUAAAAUAAAGUGUCGAUGGUCAUAUGAAUAUAUUAGUGCAUUAGUUGCCCUCUUCAUGGUUGUCUUCUAGUAAGUAUGAGUUAUAUUUACGUUAAUAAUUCAUCCUAUAUGAUCUGGAUAGUGUUUGCUUCCGUAGAGUAUUUCUUUUGUGAAAUAAGUGUUUAUAUUACCAUUUGGGAAUUUAUGGAUAUUAGCUUAAUCUUACUGUAUAAAUUGGUUAAUUAGAAGCUAUGUCCAUAGAAUUUAGAAGUUCUCAUAAUGAUAUAGACUUUAGCUAACGGAAACGCAUGUUAUUGUGAAAUGUUGGUAUACGAUUAUAGAUCCUUUUAUAAUUAUUGACGUCGUUGCUUAACUUAAGAAUUAAAGGGGUUUAUACUUGAAAUUUAAUAUAAUUUUUGAGUCACAUAGUUGCCCAUGCAUUUUAGUAUUAUCUAUUAUAUAUGGGUAAUAUUAGUUUCAUGAUAGCAUGAAUGACGGUAGUAAUAUGAGAUGAUAAGUUAUGAGUGUGCUAAUAACUUAUUUAGAUAAUUUGAACAUCAAUAUUACUUGAAGUGAUUCUACUUAUUAUUAACCUCUGCUCUUUAGCAUUAAAGAAAAAAAUAGAUUUUUUCCUCUUCCUAAUUCUUGGCUUGUUUAUUUCUUUUGCAUAUGUAUUUGGACCAAAAUAUGGAGUCUUAAUGCCAGACUCUCCCAUUCUCGAGCAUGGAGUCAUCACAUGGCAUCUUCCUUAGAGUGCACCCGAUAGCAAGAAAACAAGCGAAAUGCUUGGGGGCGCCUAUGACGUCUUUCUUAUCUUCUCUUUAUUUUACGAUUGUUUUAUUUAAUUUCUUGAUGUCUCCUGGUUUAUUUGGUAUUUGUGUUUAUCUCACGCUUAACAUGGGUUUGAAGAUUUAGUUUAUUUAAUUAUCUCUUCUUUAGCUAGCAAACAGGGUACCUAUUUUAUCAUAUAGCGUUUACCUAGACUUCUAAACUUCAAAAAUAGUAAUUUGACACUUUCACAAGUCAUUAAAAUGAAGUUUUUCAAAAGAUCUCGUUAACAUCCUUUCUAACAUCAUCAAGUUGAGAUUUUAUAUAAUUAAAAUGCUGAGUGUUUUCUAAAAGUUCAAAUGAAAAUUGCUUUUCUUUACCAAGUAGGAAAACUUGUCUCCAAGUGUUCUUCCUUUGAGAAUUAUUUUAAAUUAUUGCUUUCAUCAUGUUAAAACUGAUCUAUAAAAUAUUUUCCUCAAAUCGUCAGCUUUCUUAAGGGACUUAAACAUUUUCCUUAAGAUAUAUAAGUAGUUAAGUUCCACAGAAGUUAGCCAAUGCUGAAAUCGAAUACUCUCUUGUUUUCUAUCAAGUUAUAUAGUUAGCUAUACAUUGAUACUUUAGCGUAAUAUUUUUUAUCAAUUAACCUAAGUUUGGCCGGUUAACCAUAUUUAAUGGGUCAUAUAGAGUACUUAAUACCUUCUCUAUAAGAUCAAUUAGAACCCUUACCCGUAGUCUUGAAGGUUAAGUAGACCAUAGAAUAGAGUUAACUUUAAGCACUGCUAAAAUUGGUGUCCUAAUUCACCGUCAAAAUAAUUAGGUGGCGACUCUCUUUAAUUAAUUCAACCUCAGAAUUACCAAUAUGUUAUACUCUGAAUUGACCCGUGUUAAAAUGGGGUAUAACAACCGUAUCAGGUCCUCGAUAUCAUCGGAAAGGGAUCCUACAAACUUAGCGCGAUGGAUGGCGAACAAUUACCAAACAAUUGGAACGUAUCACUUCUUAAACGAUACUACUGCUAAGGUACGACCUUCUCCAUUUUUAUUUACAUUUUAUACUAAGCAAUUACAACUAUUAAACCGAAGAUAUCAAAGAAUUCUUCAUCACAAAGUCCUUAGGUUUGAAAGCACAUGUUGCACUCUUUUUCUCUUAGACCGAUUUUUAUCCCAAAUGGGUUUUUCUAGCGAGGUUUUUAAUGAGGCACCCAUUUGUUCGUGCUAACUUAGAGAAACUCAACAGUAUCUGAGGCUUCUUUACAAUCAACCUCGAAUACUGGGGGGAAUCACCCUCGGAUGUUAACUUUGUUACAAGGAAGGUACUUCGUGUCAACAGGGUCUCGAUAGGUAAAACUUUGUAAGGGACAAACGAUCAAACAAACCGUGCCCAUUUAGAUCACUCGAGCCCUAAAGGCAAACAUGCACGCAUGUAUAAUCUAUUGAGAGAAGUGUUUUUCCUUACCAAAUAUUCUUGCCUUAAAGAAAUUUUUACUUUACGAUUUCAUACUUUUGAUCUAUUGUGAAAAUAGGCUUAAAGGCCGAUCACAACUGAAGUUCAAACAACUUACCCCGCAAUCGGGGACUGCCGUCCGAAAAAUCGAUGUAAUCGAACUACUAAAAUCUCGAGAUCAUAACACCUUAAAAAGACAACCCUCAUUUUAAUAGGCCAAGGCCACCCCACUCAGGUACUAACACUUCGAACAAGUUCAAAGUGUAAUCGAGAAAUGAUCCCAAGGGAAAAACCCCGACUUAAAGGCUACAUCCAAACUAACAUGGUUCGGAGACGUCUGAAUCCUGUAACAAAAACAAGCCUUCUAAUAUCUUCACAAAACAGGUUAAAAAGGCUACCCUCGGCAAAAUUAUAAAGGGUUUGGAUAACAUCACCUCCCUAAAAACCAUAAAGGGGACCGGGUCAUUCGAGCUCUCGAACAAUCUUAUUUCAUGCUAGGGCAUAACAAAUUUUUUAUAUGAUUAAUUUUUUUAAGCCGAAAAGGGAAAAGAGCCAUUCUUUUAAGGCCAUAUCAGCCUAAUUCUAAAGCCUAAGGGCCGUUCCAUUUUUUGAAUUCGAGAAGUCAUCCUCACUUAACUAAAACCUAAGGGUCAUCCAACUUCGAGUUCGAGUAAAUACUUGCUCGAUUAUAAACACUACACUAGUUCGACUUCGAUUAAAUUGUCCAAACCUCAUAUUUAUGAAAGCUUUCAAGACAUGGAUGAAAUAGAAAGGAGAGAUCUUUUAUAUAUAGGAAACAAUUUACAAGGACCGAUCAGGAUCCUACACAAAAAUUCAAAAAAGAAAAUUCCUAAGUACCUAAUUUUCCUCGGGAGCUACAUCCUCGCUGUCGGGAUCUUCUCCGCUCUCAGAUCCACUCCCUCUCCUGGAAUUAUCAUCAUCAAAAGAGAGAAACACUUUGGCUUCAACCUCAAGCUCUUUCGCAUUCUCGAUCUCGAUAGCAAGGUUAAAGCUACGAGCAUGAAUCUCCUCAAGAGUCUCUCUUCGAGACUGGCACUUGACAUGCUCGGCAACCCAGUAUGCUUGAGUCUGAGAAGCAUAGACAACCUCUUUUGCUCGAGCUUGAGUGGCCUCGGCGUGAUAUCGGUAGACAACCACGAUCACCUCAACAUCGGCCUUAGUUGUCUCAACCUCAGAUUUUGCCACUACAAGCUUCGUGUCCAACCGAGCCUGUAGCUCCUGAAUUUUCUUGGCUUGUUCCAAGUUCUUCUCUUUCAUGCCUUGGAGUUGGCUUUUGAUUGAGGAUAACUGAGCUCGAACAGUCUCUUUCUCUAAGGCAAGACGGUUCAUUUUUUGCUUCCACACUGCAGUCUCCGCCUUCACCUCAUCCACCUCUCCUCGGAGUUGCUUGAUCAUUUCGUGCAGCCACUGGACCUCUGAGAUCGAAGGAUUAUCCAUCACUCCCAAAUCGAGGCCAUAAAUGUCUAAGACUUUAUUUACUUGCUCGGCCAGUUCACUUUGUUCUUUCUGGGCCAUGGCCAGCUCAGCUCGGAGGCCUUUGGUCUCUUUUUCCAUUUGCUCGUCGAGAAGCCUGAGAGAAUUUUUCUCCUCGGUAAGCCCUUGAAUUUCAGUCUCGUAUCAGCUCAACUCUCUUCGAGACAUAAAGAAAACUUCAUGAUGAAGUAGACUAGUAUAAAGCAACCCCUAAAAGAGUAGUUCUUUCAAUAGAUGUGAGUCUUCACUGGUGUAUCAGGCAACUAGAUGUAAAGAAUGCAUUUCUGCAUGGACAUCUACCGGAGGAGGUGUACAUGAGUCAGACACCAUGUUUUAAAUAUCCUUGACAUCCUGACUGCAUGUGCCAUCUAAAGAAAGCAUUGUAUGGCCUUAAGCAAGCACCUAGAGCCUGGUUUGACAAGUUCAGUUUACACUUGCUCCACCUUGGGUUUAAGUGCAUUAAGGCAGACUCCUCACUCUCUGUGAUGCAUUGUAAAUAAGGCAUAGUCCUACUCCUUCUGUAUGUUGAUGAUAUAAUUGUCACCAGGAGUCACACUACACUAAUUUCAGAAAUCACUGAUAAACUAGGUAAGGAGUUUGCUAUGAAGGACCUUGGCCCUUUGCACUUCUUCUUAGGUAUUGAGGUCACCUACUUUACUGGAGGCAUUCAUCUGAAUCAGAGUAAGUAUACUGCAGAAUUACUUUCCAAGACUAGCAUGGCACUUGCUAAGCCAAUAAGCACACCUCUAGCACAGAAGCAUGGUCUACAAGAAGCUGUGGAUAAUCCAGUUGAUGUUUCACUAUACAGAAGUAUUGUUGGUAGUCUGCAUUAUUUGACUCUCACAAGGCCAGACAUAGCUCAUGCAGUAAAUUUAGCAAGUCAGUUCAUGUAAAGUCCAAACAACACUCAUUACCAAGCUGUAAAAAGGAUCCUUAGGUAUGUGAAGGGCACAACUGAGUAUGGUCUAAGAAUCUUGUCUCAGUCACCAUUCAGGUUAUAUGGUUUCUCUGAUGCAGACUGGGGAGGGUGUCGUAUGACUAGGAGAUCAACUACAUGAUACAAUGUCUACCUAGGAGCUAACUGCGUAUCUUGGAUAUCCAAGAAGCAACACACAGUGGCAAGGUCUAGUGCAGAAGCUGAGUAUAGAGCGCUAGCCUCGACAACAGUUGAAAUGACAUGGAUAACCUACAUUCUCAAUGACAUUGGGGUUCACUUAAAAACUGCACCAACUUUUUUUUGUGAUAACUUGAGUGCACUAUGUAUAAUAGUCAAUUCGGUAAUGCACGCUAGAAAGUAUGUUGAAAUGGACUAUCAUUUUGUUAGAGAAAAGGUUGCUAGUGAUUAGCUUGUUACAAGGUUUGUUAGAUCAAAAGACCAGCUAGUUGACAUUCAUACUAAGGCAUUGACUAAGCAGAUGUUUGCAGGUUUUUGAAGCAAGCUAGGAGUGGUAACUACACCCCUCACUAGCUUGAGGGUAAGUGUUGAAGAAGUUGAUUAUGAUAAGGAUAAGCUUGAACGAGAUAAGGAUAGUUAGAUUGCAUUGUAGAGUUUGUACUUAACUCAAUGUAAUAGUCAUACAUGUAGUAGAACUCUAAAUCAUUUGUAGUAGUUAUCAUUUAGCCUAGUUUUUAGUUGUUUUGUGACUUGUAUAAAUUCAGUCACUUAUGGCUUUGUAAUACAUGAGAAAACACACUAUUCUUCUAUACAAUUCCUUCUCAAUCUUGUGGUUAUCUACACG